AAUGCAUAAAAUUAUGCAGAUGCGGGUCAAGAGCGUCAGAUAACGUCCGGAACAAUCCUAGAAACAUCCCGCAAUCAGCUGUAAAUGCCUUGUUGAUGAGCGAGAUCGGACCCGAAUGAUACAGUCGCCAACAAAAACCGCUCUUUACAUGAGUGUUUCCGUGACAUUUCGCUCAAGGACUCAACCAUGGUAGCUUGGCAUGGUGGAAUUUGCUUCCAAUCAAUAAACUAAAGCCUUGAACACUAAGCCACAGCUUCUCAUGGCUUGGUUGUUCUGGGAUACUCUCUGUGAAUAAACGCA